rnacentral:lncRNA from 1 species
CGAUUCCUUAAAUACAACAUUCAAAAGAAGAAACCAAAACAAAACGUUCAAGGAGGUGCAAUCAAUGGAGGAGUCUGUUCGCGUCAAGCACAUCAAACGCAAAAACAUUAGGAAAAGAAGGGUUCAUGAAGAAGAAGACGAAGGCGAGGAUUCAAAAACCGAAUCUUGUUUGAUUUACAAUCAGAAAAGAUCCUAAAAUUUUGACGGUAAGCUUUUUUUUUUUUUUUUUCAAGAAUUCAUAAGUUAAAUCUGAUGGAACAAUCUUUCAAUUUAUGUCUUGAAAGGAAAUUCAGUUUCAUCAUGAUAGCAGCGCAACGGCAGCUCUAGAAACUGAAAUUUGUAUAAAAAGGUAUAAUAGUGAUUAUAAAGCAAGCGAUAGCCUUCAUGGACCACAAAGGGCUUGUGCUCAUGUUAGGGUAACAUCUAGGGUUGAUUAUCAGCCUGAUAUAUGCAAACUGGUCGUUGUGGGUACAGAGAUGCAUGUAAGUGUAUGCAUGAUCGAGGUGAUCAGAGAUCUUGUUGGCGGAUGGAGAAUGAACGGAAUGAGGAAAAGAAGAUGAGACGGUGAAAUUUGGUUUAAUAGGCAUAUGAAUUAAUCUUUUUUUAUAUGUGAUACAUGCAUCUAUAAUUUUCUGUAGACUUUGUAAGAUUUUUGCUUCUCAUCGGUUCUUAUUUAAGAGGAAGUUUUUUUUUUUUUUAUUGAUUCCUUAAUCCGUUUCUGCUAUUAAAUAUUAGUAAAUUCAUACAAUUAUAGAACAGUAGGCAUUUGUUAAGGGUGAGUCUAACUCUGUAGCUGUAGUUGUACAAUUGAAAAAAUAACGAAAUUUUUCUUGCAGCUAGAGAUAUUUGGUCUUUAUUUUGAUGUGUAUGUAGUGUUGAAUAACAGCUACAAAUACAGAUUUAAGAGUUAAAUUUGUUUAUAACAUUUACUUAUGUACAUCAACUCUCUUGAUUCUAGGUCAUAUUUAUACAUUGGUUAGAGACUUCACUUCACACAGUCAUUACUUUCUUGGCCACUAAUGUACUGCUCUCUAAAUUGUUUUCGUUGUUCCAUGAAUGCGGUGACGGUGAAGCGAGCAGAGGCCAGAUCAAACUUCUUUCUUUUCUUGCUUUGAGAACAAGAGCUUUUGUAUUUUGUCUUAGAACACUAUUCACAGCCUUCAAGUAGUUGCUUGAAUCAUGAUCUCUUAAGAUUGUACCUUCUGAACCAUAAGCUGAAGGAUCACUAAGAGUUUCCAAUGGGUGUGGACAGUUGAGGAAUGCAUUUAGUACGCUUGGAGAGUAGCCGUGUUGUUUCUUGUCUAACUCAUAGAGAGCACCACCAGCAGGGAGGAAAGGGUGUGGAGGAGAUGAUUUCUCGUCAGGUUGGAGGAUAAAUAUUUUACCAAGUGGAGUGUACAAGAGUUUCUGAAUAGAAAUACAAGAGAAAGUAAGAAUUUGAACAAGUCUCUGUUUACAGUAUUGAAAUAAUGGAAUGAAGCAUGAUAAAUUUGAUAAUUGGAGCCUCGCAUUGAAUGUCCGUUUCUACGGAUGCUAAGUUUUAAUGACCGAGUAAAUCAAUACUUACAUUCUUUAUUAGACAAGGGUGUGAUCUGAAGGAGCCAUUUAAACGUUUGAGGACUUGUGCAAC